UGAGGAAUAUUGCGCAAUGGGGGAAACCCUGACGCAGCAACGCCGCGUGGGUGAAGAAGGCCUUCGGGUCGUAAAGCCCUUUCGGACGGGACGAAAGUUCCGCGGGGAUAAUCCGCGGAGCCUGACGGUACCGUAGGAAGAAGCACCGGCUAACUCCGUGCCAGCAGCCGCGGUAAUACGGAGGGUGCAAGCGUUGUUCGGAAUUACUGGGCGUAAAGCGCGUGUAGGCGGCCUUGUAAGUCAGAUGUGAAAGCCCUCGGCUCAACCGGGGAAGUGCAUCUGAAACGGCAAGGCUUGAGUACGGGAGAGGGAGGCGGAAUUCCCAGUGUAGAGGUGAAAUUCGUAGAUAUUGGGAGGAACACCGGUGGCGAAAGCGGCCUCCUGGACCGAUACUGACGCUGAGACGCGAAAGCGUGGGGAGCAAACAGGAUUAGAUACCCUGGUAGUCCACGCGGUAAACGAUGGGCACUAGGUGUGGGGGGUAUCCACUCCUCCCGUGCCGCAGCUAACGCAUUAAGUGCCCUGCCUGGGGAGUACGGCCGCAAGGCUA
rnacentral:rRNA from 1 species